AACACUCUGGGAUAUUCGUCGGCUUUAAUUUUUGAACCUACGGUUGUCAGACGGGAGAUCUAUAUUAAACGGUGGAUAUCGAGCCUCGUUUAGGUGGAGGAGGAUAGAAACGUUUAUGCGAUCGCCCACCUAUCGAAGGAUAGGUGUCAAAAAUAAGGUAACGGUAUCCUGGUCUCAUC
rnacentral:other from 1 species